AAUCUUAUGUAAGAUUAAAAACUAAGCCAAACAUUGUCAUUUUGGGAGUUUGGCCGAGGCAACAUAUCUAUUAAAAGAUAACACAAGUGUCCUAAGAUGAGCUCAAUGAUAACAUAAAUAUCGUGUGAAACAAAAGGGUAAACACUCAUUUGAUUUUUAUUUUCAAUACAAAUACACACCAUGGAAGUGUGUCCUAUCGAUCCUUUAGAAUUUUGAAGCCCUACAAUUAAGAACCACAAACAACAACUAGAUCAUAAUGCUAUAGCUCAUAUGAAUGAAAAAUUUCACCCUUAAGGUAGGCUCAAGGCGC
rnacentral:ncRNA from 1 species